GCCAUUCUUGCAGAAGUGAGACGGUAUUGCAUUCCACUUGUAUAUCUUCUUUUGAGAAUUGUCUAUUCAUGUACUUAUCUCAAUUUUUGGUGGGAUUCUUCGUUUUUUUUCUUGCUGAUUUGUUUGAGUUCUUUGUAGAUUCUGGAUAUUAGUCCUUUGUCAGAUGUAUAUGUUGCGAAGAUUUUCUCCCACUCUGUGGGUUGUCUGUUAAUUCUGCUGAUUAUUUAUUUUGCUGUAUAGUUUUUCAGUUUACUUAAGUCUCAUCUAUUUAUCUUUGUUUUUGUUGCAUUUGCUUUUGGGUUCUUGGUCAUGAAGUCUUUGCCUAAGCCAAUGUCUAGAAGGGUUUUCCCAAUGUUAUCAUCUAGAAUCUUUGUGGUUUCAGGUCUCAGAUUUAAGUCUUUGAUCCAUCUUGAAUUGAUUUUUGUAUAAGGUGAGAGAUGAGUAUCCAGCUUCAUUCUUCUCCAUGUGGCUUGCCAAUUAUUCCAGAAGCUUGUUUUUUUUUUUAAAUGAAGAAAUGGUAAAGAAGGUAAGUCCUCCACUAGACUAAAUAUGAGCAUGGCACCCUGAUACAAAUAAUGUAGUCAAAUUCUUAUCUGGACUUCAUUGUCUACCCCCAAGCAAUUUGUCAAGUUAUUUUCCUAAAUACAGAGUUUUCCUGCCAAGAAUUCUGGUGACAGUUGUCAGGCAAUAAAAUUGUAAUUUCCUGGCUAUAAAUGAAUGGUCUUUCCACUGACAGAUGACAUCAUAUUGUAUAGAUUCAUUCCUGAAGAAUCUAUUGCAGCCCUAAAGUACUACUACCUUUACCUUUUAAAGGGGCUCUGAACUUUCCGAAGCUUACUAACUAAAAGGAUAUUUUAAAAACUUCAAUAAUGGCUAUUAUAUCAUUAUUUACCAUGUAAGUAUUAUUGUGGCACAUUGCAAAGCAUUGGUAAUAUGGCCAUCGCAGAGUUAUCUUGCCUAAUCAUUUAAUCCUAAGGUUUCUUUUAAAAAAAAUGGCUCAUGAUCCACAAAGACAGUAAGCACAUAAGAUUUCAGAGGAGAAAACAAUCGCUGUAGCCUAGAAUAAUUGAGGUUUCAGCAGUGAAAUCUGAGUUGGCCAGGUAGGAUUCAGCUGGGAGAGAGGAAGCAGAAAGGUACUCUUGUCUAAGUGAAUAGCGUGGACAAAUCUGCGGUGAUGAGAAUGCAUAAAGCAUGCUUUAGGGAACAGUCAGUUGAGUAGUCUAGCUGGGGUAGAGUAUACUGUUGUAGAAAAUCUUAAAACUCAAGCAAGAUAGUUUGCAUUUUUUUGCUUCUGUGAGCAUAUGGGAACCUAGCACUGGAGGCUAGGAGGGAGGGAUGAGAGCUUUAAGAAGGUGAACCUGAUUGCAGAGUGCAUGGCUCUGGAGGCUGGGGGUCCAUUUUAGAUGAAAUGAAGUCGUCCAUGUGCAACUGCAACAGCUUGACUGAAGGAGGGAAAGGGAGAGUGGAAAUGAUGAGUCAGAGGGGGAGAUGUUAGGAAGAAAAAGGAUCAGCAGCUCUUGGGGACCAACUGGAAAAGGAAGUCCAGAUGGAGAGGGCAUCCAAGAUGAUUCCAAAGUUUGCAGCCUUCAUCAUGGUGGAAGAAACUACCCUUGGAAAAAUCAGGAAAGAAAAGGGAGCCAGGAUUAGGAGGUAAAAAAAGGAAUUUGUUCCCUAAUAGACUGAGUUUGAGGUGACAGUAAGAUAAUGAGGUGGGGCUGUUCAGAAGGCAGUGGGGAAGAAAGUUAAGAAAACCAGUCAGGGCUGGAAAUAAGGAUCUGGGAGCUGUUUCCGCCUUAAAAUGGUCCUCUUUCCUUCCUAACAGAAUUCCACCUGUGUUUGGGCUGCCAUGUGCCCAGAUGGAAAGGAUAAGCCAUGAUUGGCCAGACCCCAAAUAUGCAAGCAAGAAGAGUCAGUCUGAGGCUCCUCACUGUGACGGACUGAGGAGCUUUAUUUACUCCCUGCGGAUAGUGGCCUGCCACCAGAGAGGCCACAGGCCGGAGUGAUGGAGCUGACUCAUAGGGUAAGGAGAAAGUGGCCUGGAUCGUUGACAGAGGGUGUGGUCUUUUUGUUUGGUAAUUUUAAACUACAUUCUUGAAAAAGUUUCUCAAGAUUCAAGCAAUUCCUAGGACUGUAUGUACACUUGGGGAACAUUUCUUAAAAUACAUAACGAAUUCAAAUUAAUAAGAAAAAGACAACCCAGAAGAAAAAUGGACACGUGAAUUAAUCAGAAACUCAAGAGGUGGCGUAUAUUUGAGCAUGGAUCUAAAUGAGGUGAAGGAUUGAGAUGGCUGCUUGGGGAAGAACUUUCCAGGCAUGAAUGAAUGCCUGAAUUGAGCAUCUCCACUUCCUGAUAUGAGAGAAGAGACGUAACAAAGAUUCCUCCAGAACCAAAAGGAUCCGAGAUAAGGCUAACUUGAUUAACGUGCUUAAUGUGAAUGCCACACCUUGGGUUUCCCAGGAAGAAGACUCUCAGAUGAAGACCAGUGUUUAGGAAGCUUAUUAGGAAUGCUUGCGGGAUCAACACCUGCUGGGGAAGAAAGGCAGCAAGAUUGGGCAGAGGACAGAGUUGGGCUAUGGUGCAGUCUCAGUGGAGGUUUCCAUCGGCCAUCGGGAGUUCUGAAGCUGGGCUGGCCCUUCGGGGUGGUCCCAAGUUGGGGGCUGGAUCUUUAUGCCUCGCCUUAGUCCAUCAUUAGAUGUUGGCCAUCCCAGGAAGGAGUAUGACCUUGGGUGAGGUGGCUCCCCUCUGCCACAGUAGUCCUUGGCAGCUGAGGGCUACUUAAAUGAUUUCAACUUCUUCCUUUUGUUCCCCCAGCACCAGGAGUGAUGGUUCCUCAGCAGUGGAGGGAGGGAGUCCUUCCUUCCUGAAGGGGAUCUGGGUGGGCCAGUUCACUGUUCAUCACCGUGAGACAAGGUGGCACAUGGUGAUGGGGAGCACAACAUGCUGGGGUGGGUGGGGGUGGGCAGUCAAUAGAUGCAGGUCUAAACCUUGCUGCAUUGGAGAGAAGAUAAGAGAAAAAGUUGCUGAGUUGGUUUCCUGGGCCUAUGUGCUCUCAGAGUCCUUUCCUUUUCUUAGCUUGCCCAGUGGUGCUGACACCUGCAGGCUGCAUCUCUCAAACUCCCCAUCAGUUGGUUUCUGGCAGGUUUGACCAGGAGAAACCACUGAUCAGACAUAAGCAGGAGGAAACCAGAGAAACCAGAGUAUUUCCAUCCUUCCUCUUCGCCUUGGGCAGGAACUCCAUUAGCAGCUUGUCUUCUCCCUUGUUCUAACUCUCCUAUGCAGGCUCACUGUGGUUCCAGCUCCCAUAAAGGAAUCUCUCAGUCCCUGGCUCUGGCCACACCACUGUGGUAGAUGUGAGGUACUCAGGUCCUCUUUAAGGAAGGACUUGCUGCCCAACGGCAGGUGCUGCAGCCAGCAUCCAGCUGUCAGCCCCUACAGGGUCAGCCUUACUUGCAGAGAACCACCUUGCUCGAGGUCAUGCCCUUCCUGAAGCAGCUGGCAUCCGAUGUUGACCCCUCAUGAACACCUUGCACUCCAGUAUAUUUCUAAGUGCUUCUGAGAGCCCGGCCUGCAACACCACUUCUCCCCUCUGCCUCCAGCCUAGAGAUGGGAAUGGCUUCCUGCUGGUGCUAAUCUCUAGGUGGCCUCACCAUGUCCCAUUUGGACACUCUGCUCUUGCAUCAUCCAUGUAAUCAAUUAACUGCAUUAAAUCCCCAUCUCUUUAAAUAAAGUAGGUUCUGACACAGCCAACAUUAUACUGAAUGGGGAAAAGUUGAAAGCGUUCCUCCUGAGAACUGGAACAAGACAAGGAUGUUCACUUUCACCACUUCUAUUCAACAUAGUACUGGAAGUCCUAGCCAGAGCAAUCAGACAAGAGAAGGCAAUAAAGGACAUCCAAAAAAGUAAAGAGGAAGUCAAACUGUCACUGUUUGCUGAUGAUAUGAUUGUAUACCUAGAAAACCCUAAGAACUUAUCCAAAAAGCUCCUAGAACUGAUUAAUGAAUUCAGUAAAGUUUCAGGAUACAGAAUUAAUGUACACAAGUCAGUAGCACUGCUGUACACCAACAGUAACCAAGCUGAGAAUCAAAUCAAGAACUCAGCCUCUUUUACAAUAGCUGCAAAAAAUAAAAUAAAAUACUGAGGAAUAUACCUGUUACCAAGGAGGUGAAAGACCUCUACAAUGAAAACUAUAAAACACUGCUGAAAGAAAUCAUAGAUGACACAAACAAAUGGAAACACAUCUCAUGCUCAUGGAUGGGUAGAAUCAAUAUCGUGAAAAUGACCAUACUGCGAAAAGCAAUCUACAAAUUCAGUGCAAUUCCCAUCACAGUAUCACCAACAUUCUUCACAAAGCUGGAAAAAGCAAUCCUAAAAUUCAUAUGGAAUGAAAAAAGAGCCCGCAUAGCCAAAGCAAUACUAAGCAAAAAGAACAAAUCUAGAGGCGUCACAUUACCCAACUUCGAACUAUACUAUAAGGCCAUAGUCACCAAAACAGCAUGGUACUGGUAUAAAAUAGGUACAUAAACCAAUGGAACAGAAUAGAGAACCCAGAAAUAAAGCUGGAUACUUAUAGCUAACGAGUCUUCAACAAAGCAAACAAAAUAAAGUGGGGAAAGGACACCCCAUUCAACAAAUGGUGCUGGGAUAAUUGUCAAGCCACAUGUAGAAAAAAUGAAACUGGAUCCUCAUCUCUCAUUUUAUACAAAAAUCAACUCAAGAUGGAUCAAAGACUUAAGUCUAAGACCUGAAACCAUAAAAAUUCUAGAAGAUAACAUUGGAAAAACCCUUCUAGACAUUGGCAUAGGCAAAGACUUCACGACCAAGAACCCAAAAGAAAAUGCAACAGAAACAAAGAUAGAUAGGUAGGACUUAAUUAAACUAAAUUACUUCUACACAGCAAAAGAAAUUAUCAGUAUAGACCACCCACAGAAUAGGAGAAAAUCUUUGCAAUCUAUACAUCUGACAAAGGAUUAAUAUCCAGAAUCUACAAGGAACUCAGAUCAGCAAGAAAAAAACAAAGAAUCCCAUCAAAAAAUGGGCUAAGGACAUGAAUAAACAAUUCUCAAAAGAUGUACAAAGGGCCAACAAACAUAUGAAAAAAUAUUCAACAUCACUAAUUAUCAGGGAAAUGCAAAUCAAAACCACAAUGAGAUGCUACCUCACUCCUGCAAGAAUGGCCAUAAUCAAAGAUCAAAAAUAAUAGAUGUUGGCAUGGAUGUGAAGAAAAGGGAACACUUUUACACUGCUGGUGGGAAUGUAAACUAGUACAACCACCAUGGAAAACAGUGUGGAGAUUCCUUAAAGAACUAAAAAUAGAUGUACCAUUUGAUCCAGUGAUCCCACUACUAAGUAUCUACCCAGAGGAAAAGAAGUUAUUAUACUAAAAAGAUACUUGCACAUGGAUGUUUAUAGCAGCACAAUUCGCAAUUGCAAAAAUAUGGAACCAGCCCAAAUGCCCAUCAAUCAAUGAGUGGAUAAAGAAAAUGUGAGGGAUAAAAGACUACACAUUGGGUACAGUGUAUACUGCUUGUGUGAAGGGUGCACCAAAAUCCCAGAAGUCACCACUAAAGGACUUAUUCAUGUAACCAAACACCACCUGUUCCCCAAAAACCUAUUGAAAUGGAAAAUAAAUAAAGUAGGUUCUGUUUUCCUGGCUA